rnacentral:misc_RNA from 1 species
GUGAAUCAUCGAAUUUUUGAACGAAAAUUGCACUCUCCUCGGAGAGUAUGCCUGUUUGAGGGUCAGCAUAUAAAAAAUCGACAACGUUGAUGUUUCGAGGGGGCGUUCGUCGGAAAUUGGGUCAUCUUAAAUAUUUUGGUUUUAAGCGAAUUAAAAUUUUGUUUUUGGUUACAUGAACGUUUCUAAGAUUUAUUUCUUUACACGUUUAAGGUAUCGAUUUUUAUUAGACGUGACUAUCA